ensembl:miRNA
AGGUUGGAACAAAAGUAACUGUAGUUUUUGCCAUUAGUUUAAGCAACAAAAAGGCAAAAACUGCAGUUACUUUUGCACCAA